GAUGAACGCUGGCGGCGUGCCUAAUACAUGCAAGUCGAGCGAACAGACGAGGAGCUUGCUCCUCUGACGUUAGCGGCGGACGGGUGAGUAACACGUGGAUAACCUACCUAUAAGACUGGGAUAACUUCGGGAAACCGGAGCUAAUACCGGAUAAUAUAUUGAACCGCAUGGUUCAAUAGUGAAAGACGGUUUUGCUGUCACUUGUAGAUGUAUCCGCGCCGCAUUAGCUAGUUGGUAAGGUAACGGCUUACCAAGGCAACGAUGCGUAGCCGACCUGAGAGGGUGAUCGGCCACACUGGAACUGAGACACGGUCCAGACUCCUACGGGAGGCAGCAGUAGGGAAUCUUCCGCAAUGGGCGAAAGCCUGACGGAGCAACGCCGCGUGAGUGAUGAAGGUCUUCGGAUCGUAAAACUCUGUUAUUAGGGAAGAACAAAUGUGUAAGUAACUAUGCACGUCUUGACGGUACCUAAUCAGAAAGCCACGGCUAACUACGUG
rnacentral:rRNA from 1 species